rnacentral:rRNA from 1 species
ACUGAAUAGACCCAGGUAGUCCCAGCCGUAAACGAUGCUCGCUAGGUGUCAGGCAUGGCGCGACCGUGUCUGGUGCCGCAGGGAAGCCGUGAAGCGAGCCACCUGGGAAGUACGGCCGCAAGGCUGAAACUUAAAGGAAUUGGCGGGGGAGCACAACAACGGGUGGAGCCUGCGGUUUAAUUGGACUCAACGCCGGACAACUCACCGGGGGCGACAGCAAUAUGUAGGCCAAGCUGAAGACUUUGCCCGAAUCGCUGAGAGGAGGUGCAUGGCCGUCGCCAGUUCGUACUGUGAAGCAUCCUGUUAAGUCAGGCAACGAGCGAGACCCGUGCCCACUGUUACCAGCAUGUCCUUUGGGAUGAUGGGUACUCUGUGGGGACCGCCGGUGUCAAAUCGGAGGAAGGUGCGGGCCACGGUAGGUCAGUAUGCCCCGAAUCUCCCGGGCUACACGCGGGCUACAAUGAAUGGGACAAUGGGUCCCUUCCCUGAAAAGGGUUGGUAAUCUCACAAACCCAUCCUUAGUUCGGAUUGAGGGCUGUAACUC